rnacentral:piRNA from 1 species
UGAUCGUCAGUAAGAAUUCGUAAUUUA